GAUUAUGGCUCAGGAUGAACGCUAGCGACAGGCUUAACACAUGCAAGUCGAGGGGCAGCAUAAAAGUAGCAAUACUUGGUGGCGACCGGCGCACGGGUGAGUAACGCGUAUGCAACCUACCUAUCAGAGGGGAAUAACCCGGCGAAAGUCGGACUAAUACCGCAUAAAACAGGGGCACCGCAUGGUGAUAUUUGUUAAAGAAAUUCGCUGAUAGAUGGGCAUGCGUUCCAUUAGGUAGUUGGUGAGGUAACGGCUCACCAAGCCGACGAUGGAUAGGGGAACUGAGAGGUUGGUCCCCCACACUGGUACUGAGACACGGACCAGACUCCUACGGGAGGCAGCAGUGAGGAAUAUUGGUCAAUGGGCGGGAGCCUGAACCAAGCCAAGUCGCGUGAAGGAAGAAGGAUCUAUGGUUCGUAAACUUCUUUUGAAGGGGAAUAAAGUACGGUACGUGUACCGUUUUGUAUGUACCCUUCGAAUAAGGAUCGGCUAACUCCGUGCCAGCAGCCGC
rnacentral:rRNA from 1 species